AAACCCAGAGCGGAAGCUGUCGUUUCUUUAACCUGAUACGGCAGCCGAUUAAGUUGAAUCGAUAAAAAGAAAGUUUAAAAGAAAAUUAAAAAAGUUUGGGAAUACAAUGGGUUUUAUAAAAUUCAGUUUUGUUGUGUCACACAAUAAAGGAUGGUUUGUACUCACGGCGAGCAGUCUUGCGGCAGGACACACUGGUGCGUGCGCUCGUCUCUCACAUAAGGCUCCUCGCACACGCAGCCGGGCUCACAGUAGGGGUAGCACGGCCGCAGGUGGUUGCGAGGGUUGUCGCAGGAGACCUCGGCGCAGCCACCGAAGCAUGGCUCGAAAACCUCGUUAGGCCAGUAGCAAGCUGAUCAGGGUGAAGAUUUAUAAGUAAAAAAAAACACGGCAGUUGCCAUGGCGACGGCUCGGCGUCGGAAGAGAAUGUCGCGACGGAGGGGCUGUCGUAUCUGAUAAUUGACUGCAACUAGUGGUGACAUGAAAGGAAGCUACGGACUCUAUUCAGUGCACAAUGUAAUCUAUACAACUUGCUGAAAAUCGUACUGUAUUUUCAAGGAACAUAAUAUUAAAGUCGGUGGUGGAAGAGCUGUUUGGAACUAAAUGGUUUGAAUCAAUUGCAAUCUAGAUAAGUAAAGUAGACUUCUUUUUUGUUUAAAUAGAUUGGUUAAUAACUAUAUCAAAGUAAUGAGAGACAUAUGGCAGACCAAAAUAUAGGAAAAAAAAAUUUUUCUCUUUAUUAGGUCAAAACAAAUAGUUUCACACUCAAAAUAUAAACUACUUUAUUUAGUUACGCUAUUUAUAAAUGUUCGAGUAAACGAAAAAUAAUGUUCAUUAUUCUGUUAUAAAAUAAGUACAUAUUUGUCCGUUUCGAAAUCAAUACAUGACAUGUUUAUUUUUAUUUCUCAAAAGAAAAAUAAAUAAACUAAGUAAACCAUUACAGAAAUAUGGAAAUCGUAUAUUUGGCCGAAUUGUUCCCUUGUUUAAAGUUACAGAAAAAAAUUUGGCUGUGAUGGGUGUGUAGUGAAAAAGUUGGCUCCGACUUGAUAGUUUAUCUUUUUUAUUUAUUCGCCGAGUAUUCGCUUUGAAUUCAUCAACAAUGGGAAAAUUGUGAUUUUUCGAAUAACUUUUCUUAUUUUAACAUUUCCGUCUUUGAAAUUUAGUAGCCAUAUACCUAUAUUAUGUAAUUCGUAAUUAAACUUCUUUAUCUGCGAUUUGGAUGUCAGCAGUGAACUUUUUGACGUCAUUAAUUUAAAUAAAGAAUUUGAAUGAUUAAAAUAAAAAAUAACGAUCGCAAGAAAAUGGAAACCUCUCAUCACGUCAGAAUUUAAACCUCAGAGACACAUGUUCUUUUUUUCAGUGAAAAAGGGGGAUGAUUGCGUGUUUUGAGCAGUCAUAAGAGCUGUUAAUUGGAGGGCACUGGAUGUAAUUCAUUAUACUGAAGGGGCGCUAGCAUGAGAAAACAUAAAAUUAUUGUGUGAAUUUGUCACGUAUUUUUUGUGAGUUCCAUGAAAAAAAAUGUGGUUUAGAUUUAAUUAAUGGAGAUACGUCGUCGAACGAAAGUUCAAGUCGUUGGUCUCCAAAGUCGCGACAUUAAAAUGGAAUUGGGCUGGGCACCUGGCUAGAAGGAAUGAUGUAAGGUGGAGUAGAGCUGUAACUGAGUGGACCGGAAAACGGAGUAUAGGACAUCUGGCGAUGUAAAGGAAAUUGCUGGCAACGACUGGAUGGGGAUGGCCUAGGCCAGAUAUGGUUGGCGGAGAUGGAAGGAGGCCUAUGCCCAGCAGUGGGUCACGGAGGGAUGAUUUAAAAAUAUAUGUAAUAUGUAAAUGAAUGUGUUGCAUUAAAAAUGUAUUUGAAUUAUUUGUAGUCCACUUUACAAUCUGAAGUAAAUUAUCAUCGAUAAAAGCUAAAAUUACUGACAUUUUUAUACCAAGGUACACUUUACAUCUAAAUAUUCAUGUAAAUUGCCCC